rnacentral:rRNA from 1 species
GACGAACGCUGGCGGCGUGCCUAAUACAUGCAAGUAGAACGCUGAGGUUUGGUGUUUACACUAGACUGAUGAGUUGCGAACGGGUGAGUAACGCGUAGGUAACCUGCCUCAUAGCGGGGGAUAACUAUUGGAAACGAUAGCUAAUACCGCAUAAGAGUAAUUAACACAUGUUGGUUAUUUAAAAGGAGCAAUUGCUUCACUGUGAGAUGGACCUGCGUUGUAUUAGCUAGUUGGUGAGGUAAAGGCUCACCAAGGCGACGAUACAUAGCCGACCUGAGAGGGUGAUCGGCCACACUGGGACUGGGACACGUCCCAGACUCCUACGGGAGGCAGCAGUAGGGAAUCUUCGGCAAUGGACGGAAGUCUGACCGAGCAACGCCGCGUGAGUGAAGAAGGUUUUCGGAUCGUAAAGCUCUGUUGUUAGAGAAGAACGUUGGUAGGAGCGGAAAAUCUACCAAGUGACGGUAACUAACCAGAAAGGGACGGCUAACUACGUGCCAGCAGCCGCGGUAAUACGUAGGUCCCGAGCGUUGUCCGGAUUUAUUGGGCGUAAAGCGAGCGCAGGCGGUUCUUUAAGUCUGAAGUUAAAGGCAGUGGCUUAACCAUUGUACGCUUUGGAAACUGGAGGACUUGAGUGCAGAAGGGGAGAGUGGAAUUCCAUGUGUAGCGGUGAAAUGCGUAGAUAUAUGGAGGAACACCGGUGGCGAAAGCGGCUCUCUGGUCUGUAACUGACGCUGAGGCUCGAAAGCGUGGGGAGCAAACAGGAUUAGAUACCCUGGUAGUCCACGCCGUAAACGAUGAGUGCUAGGUGUUAGGCCCUUUCCGGGGCUUAGUGCCGCAGCUAACGCAUUAAGCACUCCGCCUGGGGAGUACGACCGCAAGGUUGAAACUCAAAGGAAUUGACGGGGGCCCGCACAAGCGGUGGAGCAUGUGGUUUAAUUCGAAGCAACGCGAAGAACCUUACCAGGUCUUGACAUCCCUCUGACCGGCCUAGAGAUAGGCUUUCUCUUCGGAGCAGAAGUGACAGGUGGUGCAUGGUUGUCGUCAGCUCGUGUCGUGAGAUGUUGGGUUAAGUCCCGCAACGAGCGCAACCCCUAUUGUUAGUUGCCAUCAUUAAGUUGGGCACUCUAGCGAGACUGCCGGUAAUAAACCGGAGGAAGGUGGGGAUGACGUCAAAUCAUCAUGCCCCUUAUGACCUGGGCUACACACGUGCUACAAUGGUUGGUACAACGAGUCGCAAGCCGGUGACGGCAAGCUAAUCUCUUAAAGCCAAUCUCAGUUCGGAUUGUAGGCUGCAACUCGCCUACAUGAAGUCGGAAUCGCUAGUAAUCGCGGAUCAGCACGCCGCGGUGAAUACGUUCCCGGGCCU